rnacentral:rRNA from 1 species
UGGGGAAUAUUGCGCAAUGGGCGGAAGCCUGACGCAGCGACGCCGCGUGAGGGAUGACGGCCUUCGGGUUGUAAACCUCUUUCAGCAGGGACGAAUGUAGACGGUACCUGUAGAAGAAGCACCGGCCAACUACGUGCCAGCAGCCGCGGUAAUACGUAGGGUGCGAGCGUUGUCCGGAAUUAUUGGGCGUAAAGAGCUCGUAGGCGGUCUGUCGCGUCGAAUGUGAAAACCCGGGGCUCAACUCCGGGCUUGCAUUCGAUACGGGCAGGCUAGAGUUCGGUAGGGGAGUCUGGAAUUCCUGGUGUAGCGGUGAAAUGCGCAGAUAUCAGGAGGAACACCGGUGGCGAAGGCGGGACUCUGGGCCGAUACUGACGCUGAGGAGCGAAAGCGUGGGGAGCGAACA